rnacentral:misc_RNA from 1 species
UCCGGCUUAUCACCGGCAGUCCCCUUAGAGUGCCCAACUAAAUGAUGGCAACUAAGGGCGAGGGUUGCACUCGUUGCGGGACUUAACCCAACAUCUCACGACACGAGCUGACGACAGCCAUGCACCACCUGUUACGGGCCCCGAAGGACACCGUAUCUCUACGGCUUUUCCCGUAAUGUCAAACCCAGGUAAGGUUCUGCGCGUUGCGUCGAAUUGAACCACAUGCUCCACCGCUUGUGCGGGCCCCCGUCAAUUCCUUUGAGUUUCAGCCUUGCGGCCGUACUCCCCAGGCGGGGCACUUACUGCGUUAGCGACGGCACCGGGAGGGUCGCUCCCCCCGACGCCUAGUGCCCAUCGUUUACGGCGUGGACUAC